UGUCGGUCACACAGAGGUUACUGGGACCUCAUCGAAGUGUGUAGGGCAUUGCAGAAAUCACACCCCAAGCGGAAGGAAACAAAGAACUCUGCUCUACCAGAAUUGAAGUGAAAUCAAACGCUUUCUCAACAAAAACCGAGGGAACAGAGACAAAAAUAUGAAGAAAUGCUUCAAGCAGGUCUCGGGCAUCUUCGGACAUUAUGGCAUUUUGCAAUGCAAUGGAGUAGCCAAACUAUUCUUGGCUCACCUUCUGAGAUCUUUUUCUCCAUUUUGGAAAUACAGUUGGGGAGACCACAAGCACCCGGCACAGGUCACAAUCACAUUCGGCCGCCCAGAGCAAUGCAGGCCAACAGCGACCACACCACCCAGGACAGACUCAAGAGGAUUUGGAGCCCCAGGACUCUGGCCCCAAAGUCCAAGGGUAAGCACCACUGACUGAAGAAGACCUCAAAGGCCAAGUUGAUCAUCCUGGAGAGAAUCUAUCUAUGUGGUUGCUAAGAGUCGACCCUGACUUGACAGCACACUGAAU